rnacentral:rRNA from 1 species
GACGAACCGUGCGAACGUUAUUCGGAAUCACUGGGCUUAAAGCGCGUGUAGGCGGGCGGUAUGUCGGCGACUGAAAGCCCCCGGCUCAACCGGGGAAGGGGUGCCGAAACGGCCGGCCUGGAGGGGCGGUAGGGGGACCGUGGAACUUCCGGUGGAGCGGUGAAAUGCGUUGAGAUCGGGAAGGAACGCCCGUGGCGAAAGCGAGGUCC